rnacentral:lncRNA from 1 species
GUAGGAAAUUCGAAGAGUGAUAUAGCUUUACAGGAUCAAUUAACAAAAGAAAUUAACAAAAGGAAAAGAAAGUUGGAAUGGAAACAAAGGCAGAGGAGGUUACAACAAUUCGACUGGUCAAAAUCAGCAAGAAGGAAACUGGUCGAAUCAGAGAAAACCCUGGAACCAAGGCAACCAAGGAGGUGGUGAUGUAGGUAGAGGAAGAGGUGGUGGUCAAAAUCCAGACAAGAGUCACAUUCAGUGUUAC